CUCUAAGCCAGGCCCUAUUCUCAGACAGACUAACAGCAGCCACUUGGAUAUCCAUAGGCUGUGGAGCAGAAAUGUUGGUACACAUUCAUCCUGACCAGCUGGGUCUACAUAAUGAAGAGCCCGGGGCCAGGCCACUAGCAGGGACUGCCUGUACCUCUCAGGAAUGCUCAGGAUGAAGACAGGACUGGAAAAGACAAGCAGGCCUCCCAGGUCAUACUUCAAGGGCCAGAGGGCCACAUGUGCCCUGUGGCCUCUACGCUGGACAACACGGACCUAAAACAUUACAGCAUUACAAAUGUUCAUCAGACAGUGCUGUUCUAGAAAUGACAGAUUCGGCGAUUCGGUCAUCUUUUGAAGAGACAACCACUAUUCCACAUAGCGAAUGCCACUUUCCAGCCUCUUCAGUAGCUGAAUUAGAGGAAUGUGCAUCAUGCCUGAUAUCAUCCUUCAAACUUCUCAUUGCCUCCACCACCCAAUCUUUGAGCCUGCUCAUCUGGUGUUAUUUAGGCCCUGGGCUGGGCAGAGUGCUGCAAAGGUCUUUCCAAACAAACGGCUGAUAGGUGUGUUGCUGCCCGCCUUGGCCUUUCAAGAAGCUAGAUGGGGCCUGGCAUGGCCAGGGAGCUUAGAGCCAUGCUGACCCAGCUACAGAAGCCUCCUCCAGAGAGGUGAACACUGCUUCAUAUAACAUUCCCAACCAAUUAUU